CAUCAGCAGCCAAACAACACCCCUUUCCCAUCUCUCUCUAGUGAAGACCACCGGCGACAAUGGUGGUGGCCGACGACAUACGCCGGCAAGCGGCGGUGGACGGUAGUGAUCUCCUCCCUCCUGACCUCUCUCUCUCUCUCUCUCUCUCUCUCUCGUCACUUUGUCUCCCUCUCCCUCUUUUUUUUUGACGAAAGCAGCAGAUCGGAGCAGACGAGCGGCGAUCUUCCUCUGGCAAGCACGGUCAGCAGCGGCGGCGGAUGAGCGACGGCAACCUCCUCUCCCCUCCGAUAGUAUAGCGGCAGAUCGGGUGUCUCCAAUUUAGUACGAGCAGAUCUGGAGGUGGAUGGUCAUGGCUAUGAUUUCUGGCGACGAGCAUCUUCGGCGACCUUGCUCCGGCGACAACGGACGGCGGACGGCAUGGAUGGCUCCAUUCCGGCAUGAGCUCUAACGGCAGGGAUGAGGAGAUGAAAUUAGUGGCUUGCUUUGAGAGCGCGGUGUAGAGUUCGUAUGCCUUGUAAUAGAAUUUGUACCCUGAGAAUUGCUUAUGGUAUAGUUGAAUGGAUUAGAACCUAGACUGUUUUAUAGUUAGUUAUAAUUGGAUUAUUCAACCUUGUAUUUGGAUUGUAGAUAGAAACUUUGUAGCCUGUGCAUUUGGGUUAGAAUAACCCAAGUGUGGCAUAACACCCCUUGUUGUUGGUUUAGUUUCCGCAUAUUUUGAGAAA